rnacentral:rRNA from 1 species
AGUGAACGCUGGCGGUAGGCCUAACACAUGCAAGUCGAACGGCAGCACAGUAAGAGCUUGCUCUUACGGGUGGCGAGUGGCGGACGGGUGAGGAAUACAUCGGAAUCUACUUUUUCGUGGGGGAAAACGAAGGGAAACUUACGCUAAUACCCCAUACGACCAACGGGGGAAACCAGGGGACCUUCGGACCUGCGCGGAUUGAUUGAGCCGAUGUCGGAUUAGCUAGUUGGCGGGGUAAAGGCCCACCAAGGCGACGAUCCGUAGCUGGUCUGAGAGGAUGAUCAGCCACACUGGAACUGAGACACGGUCCAGACUCCUACGGGAGGCAGCAGUGGGGAAUAUUGGACAAUGGGCGCAAGCCUGAUCCAGCCAUACCGCGUGGGUGAAGAAGGCCUUCGGGUUGUAAAGCCCUUUUGUUGGGAAAGAAAAGCAGCAGGUUAAUACCCCGCUGUUCUGACGGUACCCAAAGAAUAAGCACCGGCUAACUUCGUG